rnacentral:misc_RNA from 1 species
GGUAAAUCUACGAGUUUUCAUAUCCAGUUUGAGAUAUUGAAUUCAAAAUGCAUGAUAUGUUUAUAAAUAAUUGUAUAAUUAUAAAAUAAUUUUAUUAACUUAAUCUACCCCUAAAAAUUUCUAGAAUGCCAAUUCCUUGCCCUCCCAGUCUCAGCCUCUUUCAUUUGCAGAGUAUACGCACCCAUUGGCAUUUUAUAUUCUCAUGCCAAACAAUAACAUCCUGUACCAUGGAUCCCAACGUUCUCAUGGCUUUAAAAUAUCAUUUCUACUUCCUUCUCUUAUUAUCUGCUACUUGUUUAAAGUUGUCUUCAUCUAUUCCAGACACAGAAACAGAUCAUGACAAAAAGGUUUCUUGGAACUUUGAUAACCACAGGAGGAGGGAAAUCCUGGAAUCUAAAUCCAACCUUCAGGCACCUGCAGGGUCUACCGGGAAAGUUCUUGAUGACAAGCUAAGGAAAGCUGAAAUGCGUAAUAUGACAUUAACAGUUAACCAGAAUGGGACUGGAGAUUUCAAGACCAUAGGAGAAGCUCUUAAAAGCAUUCCACCAUACAACACCAGGAGAGUUAUAAUAGCGAUCAAACCAGGCGUUUAUAGAGAAAAGAUUGCCAUCCCAAGAACAUUGCCCUUUAUCACAUUUCUAGGGGAUUCAAGUGAUCCACCAAUUAUUACUGGCAACGAUACUGCAUCAUCACUCCCUGGAAAAGAUGGGAAGCCAUUGAGGACGUUUCAAAGUGCUACUGUCGCUGUUGAUGCAAAUUAUUUUACAGCCAUCAACGUGAAAUUUGAGAACACUGCUACACAUGAGAUAGGGUCCAAAGGAGGACAAGGCGUGGCACUUCGAAUAUCAGGGACCAAGGCAGCAUUUUACAAUUGCAGUUUUUAUGGAAGCCAGGACACGCUUUAUGAUCACAAGGGUCUUCACUACUUCAGCAAUUGUUUCAUCCAGGGCUCUGUUGAUUUCAUUUUCGGUUCUGGAAGGUCCCUCUACGAGAAUUGCCAUUUAAACUCAGUAACGAAGAAGGUGGCAUCUCUCACUGCUCAAAAGCGCAGCAAUUCUUCAUUGGAAAGUGGGUUCUCCUUGAAAGAUUGUGUGGUGACAGGGAGUGGAUUGGUGUACCUAGGCAGAGCUUGGGGUGAUUAUUCCAGGGUUGUUUUCUCUUACACUUACAUGGACAAGGUUGUUCUUCCCCAAGGUUGGAAUGAUUGGGGUGACCAAAACCGUGACACGAGAGUGUUUUAUGGAGAGUACAAGUGCAGUGGGCCUGGAGCCAACUUCGCAGGAAGGGUUCCAUGGGCACGAAUUCUUACAGAUGAAGAGGCUCAGCCUUUUAUAGGGACUUCCUAUGUUGAUGGGGAUACUUGGCUCAUUACUCCUUGACAUCUUGAUUUCUUUCUUCAUCUAUUACGUACCCAUGUACUUGAAAGGUUCAUCAGGGCGUCUUUUUCUUCUUUUGGUAAUUGGUAUAAUCCAAAAGAAUUAUGAAGGUUCCACAUUUAAUUUUAGAAUAUUGUGAAGAAAUUCUAAAAUUUAAAUAAAAAUAAAGGUAUA